UACGGAGGGUGCAAGCGUUAAUCGGAAUUACUGGGCGUAAAGGGUGCGUAGGUGGUUUGUUAAGUCUGCUGUGAAAUCCCCGGGCUCAACCUGGGAAUGGCAGUGGAUACUGGCAAGCUAGAGUGCGGUAGAGGGUAGUGGAAUUCCCGGUGUAGCAGUGAAAUGCGUAGAGAUCGGGAGGAACACCAGUGGCGAAGGCGGCUACCUGGACCAGCACUGACACUGAAGCACGAAAGCGUGGGGAGCAAACAGG
rnacentral:rRNA from 1 species